rnacentral:rRNA from 1 species
UGGGGAAUAUUGCACAAUGGGCGAAAGCCUGAUGCAGCAACGCCGCGUGAGUGAUGAAGGUCUUCGGAUUGUAAAGCUCUGUCUUUUGGGACGAUAAUGACGGUACCAAAGGAGGAAGCCACGGCUAACUACGUGCCAGCGGCCGCGGUAGUACGUAGGUGGCGAGCGUUGUCCGGAUUUACUGGGCGUAAAGGGUGCGUAGGCGGAUGUUUAAGUGAGAUGUGAAAUACCCGGGCUUAACUUGGGUGCUGCAUUUCAAACUGGAUAUCUAGAGUGCAGGAGAGGAGAAUGGAAUUCCUAGUGUAGCGGUGAAAUGCGUAGAGAUUAGGAAGAACACCAGUGGCGAAGGCGAUUCUCUGGACUGUAACUGACGCUGAGGCACGAAAGCGUGGGUAGCAAACAGGAUUAGAUACCCUGGUAGUCCACGCCGUAAAACGAUGAGUACUAGGUGUAGGAGGUAUCGACCCCUUCUGUGCCGCAGUAAACACAUUAAGUACUCCGCCUGGGAAGUACGAUCGCAAGAUUAAAACUCU